rnacentral:tRNA from 1 species
AAGGAGGUGUCAGAGCGGUUAUGUGGCUGACUUGAAAUCAGUUUAUGGGGGUUCAAAUCCUCCCCUUCUCA